GUGAGUGAUGGGGUGACGCAGGAAGGUAGUCCAUCCCGGGCGGUGGUUGUCCCGGGGUAAGGGUGUAGGACGUCAGGUAGGUAAAUCCGCCUGGCAAUAGUCUGAGACCUGAUGCCGAGCCGAUUGUGGUGAAGUGGAUGAUCCUAUGCUGUCGAGAAAAGCCUCUAGCGAGUUUCAUGGCGGCCCGUACCCUAAACCGACUCAGGUGGUCAGGUAGAGAAUACCGAGGCGUUCGGGUGAACUAUGGUUAAGGAACUCGGCAAAAUGCCCCCGUAACUUCGGGAGAAGGGGGGCCAUGUCUGGUGAUGAGUCUUGCACUCUGAGCUGGGUGUGGCCGCAGAGACCAGCGAGAAGCGACUGUUUACUAAAAACACAGGUCCGUGCGAAGCCGUAAGGCGAUGUAUACGGACUGACGCCUGCCCGGUGCUGGAACGUUAAGGGGACCGGUUAGUCACAUUUUGGUGUGGCGAAGCUGAGAACUUAAGCGCCAGUAAACGGCGGUGGUAACUAUAACCAUCCUAAGGUAGCGAAAUUCCUUGUCGGGUAAGUUCCGACCUGCACGAAUGGCGUAACGACUUCUCGACUGUCUCAACCAUAGGCCCGGUGAAAUUGCAUUACGAGUAAAGAUGCUCGUUUCGCGCAGCAGGACGGAAAGACCCCGGGACCUUUACUACAGUUUGAUAUUGGUGUUCGGUUCGGCUUGUGUAGGAUAGGUGGGAGACUGUGAAGCAUGC
rnacentral:ncRNA from 1 species